GAAUACUCAACAUAUGAAAACCCAACAUGAUAUACAAACUUAUAUAUGUGACAUACGGGCCUAUAAGGCCGACAUGACCAUUUGUAAACUCGAAACAUAGGCCGACAAGGCCAUACAAGUAUCCAUACACCUGACAUCUGUCCACAAGCCUCUAAGAGUACAUAAAAUCAUAAAGGUCGGGAUAGGGCCCCGCCAUACCAAUCAAUACAUAUCCAAAGCACCCUGACCAAAUAGGCAACUCCGGAGUAAAUGGAGUACACCAACACCUUUCGCUGAGUUGAUAGCCUACUUGGAGGAACGUCAAAUCUAUCAGGACCUGCGGGCAUGAAACGCAGCGUCCCCAGGCAAAAGGGACGUCAGUACGAAUAAAGUACCGAGUAUGUAAGGCAUGGAAACAUAAACAAGAACAGUAAUGUAAAGAGAUAUAGAGGAGAUACAACCUGUAAUAUAUGAGUGCCUCUGGGGGCUACUGACAUGAAAUGCAUAAUACAUAUAUAUACAUAAACUUUUAAAAAGUAUACGCCUCUGUGGGAAUCAUCAUCAUCAUAUCGUACCCGGCCUCAAAGAGGACUCGGUAGAAUCGUACCCGGCCACGUGGAGCUCGGGUAAACCCAACUGAUCAGUGGUUGCACAAUAGGUAUCAUACUCGGCCGACUAUAGUGCGGCUCGGUAAAGUAAAAUAGAUACUAUAUAUAAUGCAUGCUAGACUCAUGGAAUCACGUUCUAAACCUUUUAGAGUGACUUAAGCUCAUUAUGGACAUCCCCACCAUCAAUAUGAACCUUAGUAGAAUUUAAGGAUCAUACACACUUGUUUAGAAUAAUUUUAUAAGGAAAGAACAACAUGGACAACCUUAGUUGUUAGGAGUAGAGUCAUUAUGAAAUAGCGUAUCGUUUAUGUUCAUUUCAUUUUAGAUCAUGACAAAAGAAAGAAAAAAGUGCCUUAACAUACAUUGUAUGUGUACUGGCCAACCUCAAGCUAUGCAAAUGUCAUGACUCCUUAGUCUACAAUAAGAGAAAUGACAUUAUCGUUAUCAUUUAAGCGUCGUAACUAUUAUGUAUCGACUACAACCUAUUUUACAAUGAAACGGACAACACCUCCCCUAUAUAUAUGACUUUACACUAGUCAAAACAAUCACAAAUAGUCCAACAUACCCCUAUCACUUCAUCCACAACACGACAACCAUAAUCGUGUCAAACAAUCCGAAAAUGUUACGACAAACGACCAACAAACAACCUUGCCAUUAUAUGGUGUUUCUCCACACACUUCCUCCUCUAAACUUCAUAAAAAUAGUAGUAAAAGAGACAAUCCAAUAUCAACACGAAACAGCCCACAAAACAGUCCCAAAAGUUCAUCAACUCAACAAUAAUUUUUCAGUUUACUUAAACACAUUUCAACUUGUCUUUUCUUUCAAAUUGAGAAACACAACCAAAAGUACAUAAUUGUACCUCUUAUCCAAUAAACCAUCCAUGAAUUCAACUUGAAAUAAGUUCACAACCAGCCAACCAUUACACAAGAACAAACAACAUACCAUUCUUUCGAAACUAGCUAGGUCUAUUUUUUUACGAUCGAGUUACAACUCGCAAACACAUAGCUAAUGGAAGGAGAAGCAUAAACUUACCUUGUACUGAGUAUAACCCAUGAAACCUGGUCCUUCUUCAUCAAAAAUAAGUUCCUCAAUAUGGUUACAAGAAGGAGAAAGAGAAACUAGCAAGCUGUCCGGACUUUUCAGCACUAGAAUCGCGUCAUAACACCCGGAAUACCCUAGGGUUUGUGUGGGAUUUUUGGGGAGGAGUUGCAGGGGUUCAAUUUGGUUUUCU
rnacentral:lncRNA from 1 species